GGGCUCGCAGGCGGUUUCUUAAGUCUGAUGUGAAAGCCCCCGGCUCAACCGGGGAGGGUCAUUGGAAACUGGGGAACUUGAGUGCAGAAGAGGAGAGUGGAAUUCCACGUGUAGCGGUGAAAUGCGUAGAGAUGUGGAGGAACACCAGUGGCGAAGGCGACUCUCUGGUCUGUAACUGACGCUGAGGAGCGAAAGCGUGGGGAGCGAACAGGAUUAGAUACCCUGGUAGUCCACGCCGUAAACGAUGAGUGCUAAGUGUUAGGGGGUUUCCGCCCCUUAGUGCUGCAGCUAACGCAUUAAGCACUCCGCCUGGGGAGUACGGUCGCAAGACUGAAACUCAAAGGAAUUGACGGGGGCCCGCACAAGCGGUGGAGCAUGUGGUUUAAUUCGAAGCAACGCGAAGAACCUUACCAGGUCUUGACAUCCUCUGACAAUCCUAGAGAUAGGACGUCCCCUUCGGGGGCAGAGUGACAGGUGGUGCAUGGUUGUCGUCAGCUCGUGUCGUGAGAUGUUGGGUUAAGUCCCGCAACGAGCGCAACCCUUGAUCUUAGUUGCCAGCAUUCAGUUGGGCACUCUAAGGUGACUGCCGGUGACAAACCGGAGGAAGGUGGGGAUGACGUCAAAUCAUCAUGCCCCUUAUGACCUGGGCUACACACGUGCUACAAUGGACAGAACAAAGGGCAGCGAAACCGCGAGGUUAAGCCAAUCCCACAAAUCUGUUCUCAGUUCGGAUCGCAGUCUGCAACUCGACUGCGUGAA
rnacentral:rRNA from 1 species